AACGAACGCUGGCGGCGUGCUUAACACAUGCGAGUCGAACGGAAAGGCCCUGCUUUUGUGGGGUGCUCGAGUGGCGAACGGGUGAGUAACACGUGAGUAACCUGCCCUUGACUUUGGGAUAACUUCAGGAAACUGGGGCUAAUACCGGAUAGGAGCUCCUGCUGCAUGGUGGGGGUUGGAAAGUUUCGGCGGUUGGGGUUGGACUCGCGGCUUAUCAGCUUGUUGGUUGGGUAGUGUCUUACCAAGGCUUUGACGGGUAGCCGGCCUGAGAGGGUGACCGGCCACAUUGGGACUGGGCUGCGGCCCAGCCUCCUACGGGAGGCAGCAGUGGGGAAUAUUGCACAAUGGGCGGAAGCCUGAUGCAGCAACGCCGCGUGCGGGAUGACGGCCUUCGGGUUGUAAACCGCUUUCGCCUGUGACGAAGCGUGAGUGACGGUAAUGGGUAAAGAAGCACCGGCUAACUACGUG
rnacentral:rRNA from 1 species